UGCAAGGCAGUCGGAAGAUUAAUCUCCCAGCUGAUUCAAUGUUUAAUGGUUUUACAAUCAAGCAGUUUUUGUGAACUAAUCUUACUUUUGUUUUCCUUGUUGAUUACUGAUUAUUAUUAGAAAUACUAAAACAUGCAAGUUUAGAAUUUAUAUGGCAGGAUGCAGCACAAAAGGAAAAAUCAUAGUCCUGACAUAUAAGAAGAUCUCCAGAUAACAAACAAAAGAAAGAAUGGAAAAGAAUACAAUAUUGCCCACAUAACAAACAUGAGAAACAAAAUAGAAUGUCGUACCUAUACAAAUCAGCAUAAGGGGACACAAGCUAGGUACAAACUUUCUCCCUAUAAAUCUCAUUUGGACAACCUUGCAUAGCUUCCCAGUAAUUCUCCAGAUACUUGACGAGAUAAUCAGCUGCUUGACUAAGCUCCAACCUUGGUACAUUUGAUUAACCAAAAGGUUUUCCGUGACAUAACUAAACA